CUGAAAGGCAAUGUGGGGGAGUUUGACCAGCAGCCAGCAGGUCUUCAGGGAGAGCCGGACUCUUCUCCACCUUGACAAUGCAAGGCAAAGGUUCUUGACUCAAGCACUGGGAUUUGGAUUCAGAGGGACCAAGGCAGAGUGGCUCUGAAGAUAUAUGAGCCUGCUCUAGACUACACCCUGACCCAGAAGACUGAUGUCAGGAACAUAACAGAUGGUGUAACCAGAAGGACCUUCAGGGUAGACAUCACAGCACUUCUGUGCCCUGGCUUCCAUCACUGCACUGGGUGGCUGUGAGGGAGCCACUCACUGGGAAGACUGGAGACAUGUGAACUCCAUGUCCUGCUUUUGUAACCUUCUUAGAAACUUGUAACCACUUUGAGGUACAUGAAACUUUAGCGUGAGGAGGAACCCAUGGCAGAAGUACUUGGGGUACAUGAAAGCCACCUUCCUGGGGAGCUUGAAGGUGAUUCAGGCAUCAAAUGGUUCCUGACAACUCAGAUCUUUGGCAGGG
rnacentral:lncRNA from 1 species